UACGUAGGGUGCAAGCGUUAAUCGGAAUUACUGGGCGUAAAGCGUGCGCAGGCGGUUAUUUAAGACAGAUGUGAAAUCCCCGGGCUCAACCUGGGAACUGCAUUUGUGACUGCAUGGCUAGAGUACGGUAGAGGGGGAUGGAAUUCCGCGUGUAGCAGUGAAAUGCGUAGAUAUGCGGAGGAACACCGAUGGCGAAGGCAAUCCCCUGGACCUGUACUGACGCUCAUGCACGAAAGCGUGGGGAGCAAACAGG
rnacentral:rRNA from 1 species